GCUUAACCAAAACCAAUUCAUCCUAGAUGAUUGCAACGUAAUACCUCCGCCGGAGGAAUGCAUAGUGAACUAUGCUGGCGUGUGCCAGAAGGAUUGCGAAGAUGGCAGAAUUCCUACAGGGUUCGCUUUGGAGGCUGUCAAUGCUGUGGCUGCCCGACAACAGACGAAUGCAAAGUAAACCUUGGCUAUUGCACCGAGUGUCCUGACACCUGUAAUGGUAUAAAUAUCCCCGAGUUGUGUCCUGGAGAGAAGUGCACUUGCUGCAUGCCAGCAACAGUAACAGCAGUAGCAAUAAUAGAGCCAUGUGAAACCCCAGUCGACUGCCAAUCAGCUAGAGGCUAUUGCAGCCAGACAUGUCCCCCUUGGUUGUAUCCAGACCCAAGUCUCUGCCCAGAUGGCUGCUAUUGCUGCCUUGGGGAGUAUGAAUUGGCUCCUCAAUACCACUAGAAUCCAAAAGAGAAGAAUCGAUGGGCCAUCUUUUGAAUUCCUUGUUGUUCGGUCUUUAGUUUAGAUUCCAGUCUUUAAUAUACAACGUACAGUUUAUCAAGCACUAGCUUUUGAAGACAAUCUUCAUCAAGUACAGAUGCACUGAGGAGAUGGCACCCGCCAUUUUGGUAUGUAUGUGCUCCUCCCAACAUGCAAUUUUUUUUUUUUUGUAAUCCCUGGGAUGAUCUUGCCCUUCUUUGCAGUCUUCUUGAUCUCCUUGGUUGUAUGCUUAAUUAGGAAGAUUACUGGAAAGGCAGGAUUAGCUGAAGGUCUUAUGACAGGUCAUCCCAGGGAUAAGUAGAAAGAAAAAAAUAACUUUACUAAGGGAGGAGGAGCACGUAUACGUACAUCAGUACCUGAUGAAGAAGACGAUGUCUCUGAAAGCUGGUACUUAGUAAAUUGUGCUUUGUAAAUUAAAAAAUUGGAAUCUAAACCAUCUCGUCUCAUUGAAGCCUAAUAUGAGUAAUGCAAAUAUAGUAUGUACACAGCAACGUCUUGUAGCUAUUUUGUGAUAUACAUACAAGUAUAGUAUAUUCCUUAUGAUAUCAAUAAGUUUUUAUUAGCUUGUAAAAACAGUCAGGUAAUAAUAUCCAUCCAAGGAAUAUUAUAAAUGUUCAAAUUUGGAAUACCAAGGAUAUCAACAAGCAUUACUAUAUAUGAAUAUUGGAUUUUUUUAAAUUGCACCAUGUUUAGGUUUGAUUGCAUUAGAUACCACUAUUUACUUCUAUAUGUAGAUGUUUAAAUUAAUAAAUUGGCAUUAAUCAUUAAGGUGUUUUCUAUAAAAUCAUGGCAUUGAUAACUAAGGCAUGUGCAUAUAUGUACAUUCUUUUGUAUAUUGCUUUAGAUUUUCUGCAUCACUCUUCAUCCAUCUUCAAAAUACUACAGUAUUUUCAGCUUGAUUCUUGACUGCAUUCUUUCUUCGAGGUUAGUAAUGUACAGCGGACACAAUUUUAGGUCAAUAUGACCA